AAAUUUUUUUUUUAAAAAAACAAGUAACUUGUUAUUUCUUCUAAAAUUGUACAAGGUCCCUAGUGACCUUGUCACUAAUCCCCGU